rnacentral:rRNA from 2 species
UUAGGAAUCUUCCACAAUGGGCGCAAGCCUGAUGGAGCGACGCCGCGUGAGGGAUGAAGGUUCUCGGAUCGUAAACCUCUGAAUCAACGACGAAAGACACUUAGGUGGGAUGACGGUAGUUGAGUAAUAGCACCGGCUAACUCCGUG